rnacentral:pre_miRNA from 1 species
AGUUAAAUAACAGUGUGAUUCUCCUUUGGCAGGGAAACAUUAGUAGUAUUCAUGCCAGUUACGCUAUAUAUGACAUCUCUGCCAAGGGAGAGUUGCCCUGCUAUUAACCC